ensembl:lncRNA
GGCCAAUCAUCUUGUUUGUUCCCGUAUUUGGUCCGACUCAGGGCCUCCCUCGCUGCGGACUCAGUCAAGAUGAGUUCCAGCGCCAGAGCUUCUGGGAGGACAUAUUAUAGGCUGACAUCGCCUUCUGCUUUGGCUCCUCCCGAGUUCUUCUGGUCUGGCAGCAGCUUGUCUGCACUGUGUUCUUUAUCAGGACCUCCUGUUGAGAAACAACUCGUACAAAGGGUUACUGUCGUGCCUGAUUGGGAAGGAAUAUAAUCUAUGUCUCCGUGCUGCUGCUGCUAAGUUGCUUCAGUCGUGUCUGACUCUGUGCAACCCCAGAGAUGGCAGCCCAGCAGGCUCCCCUGUCCCUGGGAUUCUCAAGGCAAGA